AAAACGACCAACCAACGACCUCGCUUCGGCCAUCUUGGCAUCUUCAUCUUGGCGACCUUGCCUUGCCGUGGAUUGUUUUUAGUUGUUUGUAUUAUUUGUGCUUUUUAAGAAUAUUUUUUUAAUUCGGAUACUUUUAUAAUAGCUUUAAUAGUAUUAUUAACAUAGUGCAUAAAAUGGUGUCCUGUUUUUAACGCAGUUGGAGUAGCAGAAACAAAUGUAGAUAAAAAAAUCUGCAGGAAUAACGUUUCAAUUAUGACAGAAGCUCCAAACAAAUGACUGAAUGAAAAGCCCUAUUAAAAGCUUUCCAGAAGAUCCUGCGAAGAAGACAUGAAGUAUAGAUCAGAUUUGUUAAUAGAGGAGUAUGUUCAAAACACUUUUUAGAAAAAGAUAUUGACAGAACUUCACUUUCAUCUGUUCGUUUGAGAGACUGUGCUGUUCCAAUAGCUUAUGUCACACAGAAUCAGCUGAGAGAAGUGGUCUACAAAAAACCAGAAAGGAAACGGAAUAUGUGGCUACGAAAAGCAAAAGAAAGGUUUACAAAGCAAAUGUGACACAUUUUUUUAUAAUAUUUAGGAAUGUCAGCAAAUUACAUUAAAAAAUGUAUGUAAAGAUUUUUUGCAAUAAAAAUGUUUAUAUUUA